rnacentral:rRNA from 1 species
UCGGAUUGAAGGCUGAAAUUCGCCUUCAUGAAGCUGGAAUUGCUAGUAAUGGCAGGUCAGCAUACUGCCGUGAAUACGUUCCCGGGCCUUGUACACACCGCCCGUCACACCAUGAGAGUUGGGAAUACCCGAAGCCUGUGAGCUAACUGUAAGGAGGCAGCAGUCGAAGGUAGAAUCAAUGAUUGGGGUGAAGUCGUAACAAGGUAGC